GAUGAACGCUGGCGGCAUGCCUUACACAUGCAAGUCGAACGGUAACAGGUCUUCGGACGCUGACGAGUGGCGAACGGGUGAGUAAUACAUCGGAACGUGCCCAGUCGUGGGGGAUAACUACUCGAAAGAGUAGCUAAUACCGCAUACGAUCUGAGGAUGAAAGCGGGGGACCUUCGGGCCUCGCGCGAUUGGAGCGGCCGAUGGCAGAUUAGGUAGUUGGUGGGAUAAAAGCUUACCAAGCCGACGAUCUGUAGCUGGUCUGAGAGGACGACCAGCCACACUGGGACUGAGACACGGCCCAGACUCCUACGGGAGGCAGCAGUGGGGAAUUUUGGACAAUGGGCGAAAGCCCGAUCCAGCAAUGCCGCGUGCAGGAUGAAGGCCUUCGGGUUGUAAACUGCCUUUGUACGGAACGAAAAAGCUUCUCCUAAUACGAGAGGCCCAUGACGGUACCGUAAGAAUAAGCACCGGCUAACUACGUGCCAGCAGCCGCAGUAAUAC
rnacentral:rRNA from 1 species